rnacentral:rRNA from 1 species
ACGGAAGGCAGCAGUGGGGAAUAUUGCACAAUGGGGGAAACCCUGAUGCAGCGACGCCGCGUGAACGAUGAAGUAUUUCGGUAUGUAAAGUUCUAUCAGCAGGGAAGAUAAUGACGGUACCUGACUAAGAAGCACCGGCUAAAUACGUGCCAGCAGCCGCGGUAAUACGUAUGGUGCAAGCGUUAUCCGGAUUUACUGGGUGUAAAGGGUGCGUAGGUGGCAUGGCAAGUCUGAAGUGAAAUGCGGGGGCUCAACCCCUGAACUGCUUUGGAAACUGUCAAGCUAGAGUGCAGGAGAGGAAAGCGGAAUUCCUAGUGUAGCGGUGAAAUGCGUAGAUAUUAGGAGGAACACCAGUGGCGAAGGCGGCUUGCUGGACUGUAACUGACACUGAGGCACGAAAGCGUGGGGAGCAAACAGGAUUAGAUACCCUGGUA